AAACGCUGCAGGGUCCCUGAGGACUAACUGGAAAGUUCCCUCUUUACCUCCUCCGUUCUUUUCUGUCCCCUCUGUCUCCCUGUGUCUCAGGUUCAGUCUUUGAUGUCCACUGUCCCCUCUGUCCCCUUGUGUCUCAGGGUCAGUCUCUGAUGUCCACUGUCCCCUCUGUCCCCUUGUGUCUCAGGGUCAGUCUCUGAUGUCUACUGUCCCCUCUGUCCCCUUUUGUCUCAGGGUCAGUCUCUGAUGUCUACUGUCCCCUCUGUCCCCUUGUGUCUCAGGUUCGGUCUCUGUCUUCUUGUGUCUCAGGGUCAGUCUCUGAUGUCCACUGUCCCCUCUGUCCCCUUUUGUCUCAGGGUCAGUCUCUGAUGUCUACUGUCCCCUCUGUCCCCUUUUGUCUCAGGGUCGGUCUCUGAUGUCCACUGUCCCCUCUGUCUUCUUGUGUCUCAGGUUCGGUCUCUGAUGUCCACUGUCCCCUCUGUCCCCCUGUGUCUCAGGUUCGGUCUCUGAUGUCCACUGUCCCCUCUGUCUCCUUGUGUCUCAGGGUCAGUCUCUGAUGUCUACUGUCCCCUCUGUCUCCUUGUGUCUCAGGUUCGGUCUCUGAUGUCCACUGUCCCCUCUGUCUCCUUGUGUCUCAGGU